UUCAGUCUUUUUUCCUAAGUUCUAAGUUUUUUGAUCACUCGCUGUUCUUCUCUAGACUUUGUCCACAUGAUUCACAUCUUUCUGAAAGUAUAGACCUGGCUUUUGAAGCGUGACAGCUGUGGCCUUGCAGCCUUGAGCACUGGAAGGAUUACCUCCUGUGCGCUUUACGGUCCAAGAUGGUGCUUGCCUUUAUCUGAAAUAGAAUGGCAUUCUCGGUUUAUCAGUUUGUAAUCUAAUGUAAUCCCUAAUGCACUGCUACCUAGCCAGUUAUUCUUCUUAUGUUGGCUUUUUGAUCUAUCCUAUCCUAGAUCAUACGCUAGCUAUGUAAAAAAAAUGCAGUAUCCUGUGUUUGCUCCAAUUAAAUUUCAUUCUGUUCUUUUUUUGCAGUCUAUUCAAGUCAUUUUAAUGGGUUAAAAGAGCCUACUGUAUUACAAUGCUGAUUCUUCUCCAUCACUGCGGGAUGUAUAAAAAAUCUUAGUGUUGGUCUUCUCUCUUCAACUCCUGAAAAUCGUAACUUUAUAAGGUAGAAAUGUAACAAUGAAAUGAUUAAAGCAAGGAUUUAAAAAAAACGAACAACAACAGCAUGAUUAAA
rnacentral:lncRNA from 1 species